rnacentral:rRNA from 1 species
GACGAACGCUGGCGGCGUGCUUAACACAUGCAAGUCGAACGGUAAGGCCCUUCGGGGUACACGAGUGGCGAACGGGUGAGUAACACGUGGGUGAUCUGCCCUGCACUUCGGGAUAAGCCUGGGAAACUGGGUCUAAUACCGGAUAGGACCACUGCCUGCAUGGGUGGUGGUGGAAAGCUUUUGCGGUGUGGGAUGGGCCCGCGGCCUAUCAGCUUGUUGGUGGGGUGAUGGCCUACCAAGGCGACGACGGGUAGCCGGCCUGAGAGGGUGACCGGCCACACUGGGACUGAGGUACGGCCCAGACUCCUACGGGAGGCAGGAGUGGGGAAUAUUGCACAAUGGGCGCAAGCCUGAUGCAGCGACGCGGCGUGAGGGAUGACGGCCUUCGGGUUGUAAACCUCUUUCAGCACCGACGAAGCGCAAGUGACGGUAGGUGCAGAAGAAGGACCGGCCAACUACGUGCCAGCCGCCGCAGUAA